rnacentral:rRNA from 1 species
GGNGGGGAUGUACCAGAAGUAGGUAGGCUAACCGCAAGGGGGCCGCUUACCACGGUGCGUUUCGUGACUGGGGUG